rnacentral:rRNA from 1 species
GACGAACGCUGGCGGCGUGCUUAACACAUGCAAGUCGAACGGAAAGGCCCUGCUUUUUUGGGGUGCUCGAGUGGCGAACGGGUGCGUAACACGUGAGUAACCUGCCCUUGACUUUGGUGUAACUUCAGGAAACUGGGGCUACUACCGGAUAGGAUCCCCUGCACGGGUGAGGGGGGUGGAACGUUUCGGCGGUUGGGGAUGGACUGGCGGCUUUUCAGCUUGUUGGUGGGGUAGAGGACCACCCAGGCGUUGACGGGUAGCCGGCCGGAGAGGGUGAUCAGCCGCACUGGAAGUGAGACACGCUCCAUACGCCUACGGGAGGGAGCAGUAGGGAAUAGGGGGCAAUGGGCGGGAACCUGAUCCAACCGGACGGAGUCGGUGAAGAAGACCUUCGGGUUGGGAAGCCCGUCUUUUGGGUAAGAAAAGCUUUAGCCUGUGACGAAGCGGGAGUGACGGUAAUGGGUAAAGAAGCACCGGCUAACUACGUG